CAUCCCCUUCACAAAGAAAAACCAGUGAUAGAGACACUGACAAAAAGUCAAUUGAUUGGAAUCAUUAAAUUCAUUCCUACUCAGAGGAAGCUGCUUUGAUCCUUGUUCGACACGGUGAGUCCUUGUGGAAUGAAAAAAACUUGUUCACAGGUUGUGUUGAUGUCCCCCUCAGCAAGAAGGGCAUCGAUGAGGCAAUUGAAGCAGGC
rnacentral:sRNA from 1 species